rnacentral:rRNA from 1 species
UACAGAGGUCUCAAGCGUUGUUCGGAUUCAUUGGGCGUAAAGGGUGCGUAGGUGGCGGGGCCAGUCAGGUGUGAAAUCCCGGGGCUUAACCCUGGAACUGCAUUUGAUACUGCCUUGCUGGAGAACUGGAGAGGAGACUGGAAUUUACGGUGUAGCGGUGAAAUGCGUAGAUAUCGUAAGGAAGACCAGUGGCGAAGGCGGGUCUCUGGACAGUUCCUGACGCUGAGGCACGAAGGUCAGGGGAGCAAACGGG